AGCUUUGUGCAGUGGCAGUACUAUAGCCAAUCAGGUUUACCUGAGGCGCGAUUAUUGCUAAUUGAAAACUUUUCUCAGUACCCUGCUGUGACAACUUGCAAUAUAGUCAGCACUGGCGACAUUUGACUAUCUCCAUGAAGA
ensembl:snRNA U4 U4 spliceosomal RNA